GCGCGCAAGGGAGCACACUCCCCUGAGUGCUCUCUACCCAUCUCCCUUGCGCACGCCGCUUACUAAUGCUGGAGCCGGAACAUGACGUCAUCAGUAAGCAGUGCGCGAGGGAGCUGGGCAGAGAGCGCUCAGGGGAGAGUGCUCCCUUGCACGC